GUAAACUUUCUUGCUUUAUGCUAUCUCUGAAAGCAUGUAUAUUUCAGUCAAGAUUGUUGAGUAAAUUGUGCUUAUUUUAUGCUUUUUUCUUUUUUACAUUAGAGAAAAUUCCACACCUUUAUCACGAGGAAAUCUGCAAUGGCAUUUAGGAAUGACAAAUAGAAGCUCAACUAUUCGAAGCAGGAGACCGAAGAGAAAAAAGGAAGAGAGAUGAUAUUACAGCUGCAGAAAAGGAAAUAAUUGAAACGCAGAAGAAUAUAUUAAUGUACUGUGUGAAAUAUGUGACUUGUAUAAGCAAUCAGUUGCAAAUCAGUCUGCUGUCAUAGAAAAUCAAAAUAUAAUUAUUAAUUUAUUAAAAAAUAAAUCAUGCAUUUCAAAUAUUACAGUGUUUUCAUUCUUGUAUGUAUUUCUGCAGUGUGGGAUUCAUAUUUUAAUUGUAAAAUUUACUACUUUCUUAAUUUUAUAAAAUUUUGUGAUUAUAAAAAUUA